CUUUCCCAGCAUGCCCAGCACGUGUCUGCCUGGACCUCAUUGGCUGUAAUCGGGUCAGGUGCCCGCCCCUCGGCCAAUCACAGACACGGACAGGCAUUGCCGCGAUUGGCUUAGUCUGGCCUUGGAGGUGAUGGGGCCCGCCAGGCUUUGAGGAGGGGGAGUGAAGGAGGUCUCCCCAGGAGGGGCUCGCAGGUUACUGCCGGCAGAAGAGGGAGGCUGCCCGGGAGGUGGAAGGCAGGCGACCUUCCUCGUCCCCAUGGUGCCCAGGGACGCCCGCGAGAGCGAAGUCGUAGACUAGACCCUGCGUUCACAGGAGGACUCAGUAACGCUCCAAGCCAGCUAAGAGAGCUGAGGAGAGGCGCCCUGUGUCCAGAUCAAGGUGCAGGAGAAUGUGAGCACAGGGGCCGGAUGCAGAGGGAGAGGGAGAAUCUCAAGCCGACUCCCAACUGACUGCAGAGCCCAACGCAUGGCUCGGUCCCAUGACCCCAAGAGCUGAAAUCAAGAGUUGGAUGUUCAACUGACUGAGCUACCUAGGCACCCCUCAUGCUUCCUAAUUUUAGGGGCUGUGACAAAGUGAACAUGCUCAGCAUGGUGGUUAGCCCGUGGCAAAUGCAGGAUAUCCCAUCCUGGACAGUAAGUUCAGGGCUUCCUUACCUGGAUUGUGCCAAGCCCCUGGGGCACAAGUGGAGUGGCAGACUUUGGUGUGUGUGGUGGUGGAAGUGGAUUCCUGUCAUCUGUCCUCCCAACUACUGCUGAGAUGCCCUAUCAGCCAAACCUGGUGACUCAUGGAGGCUUGGGUCUGUGUUCACUGUGGAGGUGAUGUCACAUGGCAUGGGGUCUGGUCCUUAAAGCACUGCAGAUCCCCCCGGAACUUCCCUCCUCCCCAUCCUUGAGUUGGGAAAACCCCUUCCUCUCCUCCCUGCCAGGUUCUCAUUUCUUACUCCUCCCCUAGCAUAAACUCUCACUGAGUUUACACUUUUGAAAAUAAAGCCAGGAAAAAAAAGAUGUCUUCAGGCAGAUUCUGCUUCUGCCCUGUAACCUGCACCCUCCAGCCAAGGGGACACAGCAGAAAGGACUUCUUGGAACUGGAAAAAAAAAAAUGGUCUGGGAAUGAAAUACAAAUGGCACCUCAAAAAGUCAGCCUGCUCCACUGGCUUUGCAGAGGUUGCAGGGCUGGAGCUUCUGGUAAAGGCUUCCCAACUGUGGGCAUCUCUUCCUGGCUCCACCUUCAGUGACAUCACAGUGGGAGCUUGAAAUAAAAUGAGCAUGGAAAUUGGCAAUGCUACAAUUCAGGGAAUGUUAAACAUUUACGAGCAUCACCCUGGGCAGGAGCCAUGGCUAAUAGCAGCAGGGAUAGGAGGGGCUGGACUGAAAUCCAGAGUUGGGAUAAAGCCAACAAGAGUCCCUCUUCUUUGUCAAGUUUAUUUUAUUAAAAUAUACAGGACUGAAUAUUGGUGGGCGCUGAGAACAGGAACCACCUUCCCAGGCUGCACCCAAGGGAGACGCUUCUGCCAUGCAGACAUGCGGCCAGUCCGCAUCCCAGUGUGGGAGACAGACCCCUCCUGCUUGUACGUGCAGCCAGUCUGGCCCAAGGCCAAGAGGGGGCAGGGGCAUGGUGGUGACACUCUCCUAUGGCCUCGGCCCCUUAGAAGCACAGCUACACCAGCUGGGAGGGCCUAGGGGUGGGCGGAGGGGGAGAAGAUCCCUGAGCCAGGGAAAGCUGAUGCCCUCCUGGAGGAGGGAAGAAAGACUCCUCCACCCCAGUCAAACUGGAGAUGGGGUGUCAGUACAACUCUGAGGGAGAGGGCCACCUGUGUGGUGUGGAUGCCAAGGGGUCCCCGUGGACAAACCAGGCCAAUUGCCAUGGCCUCCACCAUUCCACCUUUCCUUUGAGGGCCCUGCUCACCCUUGGGCCAGGCCUGAGCAGAGAGGGGGUGGCAGCCGGUGGAAUGUAUUGUACGGGAAUGUUCCUCAGAAAGGCCCACGCUACCAGGGGGGU